GCGAGAGUGGCGGAAUUGGCAGACGCACCAGACUUAGGAUCUGGCGCCCUCGGCGUGAGGGUUCGACUCCCUCCUCUCGCA
rnacentral:tRNA from 1 species